GUGAGUGCAGGCUGUUUAUUG
rnacentral:miRNA from 1 species